rnacentral:lncRNA from 1 species
UAUAAUAAGAAUUGAGCUAGAAUACUAUUGAUAGUAAAAAAUCUUUUUUGCUAUCAAGUUUUUAGCCUUUGGAUCAAUUGCUUUCAUCAUUUUUAACCAUCGAAUUAAAUAUUAUAAUCCAGUGGGGAUCACUCAACCCUAGAAGGACCACUCAACUCUAAGCCACCGUUUAGUUCAGGGUUAAGUAAAAAUUUGUUAUUCCAGGGAUAGAGUUAAGUUCAGGAUUAAGGUGGGAUUAGAGUAAUUUUAUGUUUGGUUAAGAAUUGGGUUUAGUUUAGGUAUAGAUAAAAUAGUGUUUGGUUAGAGUAGGUGGGAUAAGAAGGAUAAUGGGUAAAAUAGUAUUUUGUUUGGUUGGAGUAAUGGGGUGGGGUGGGGUGCUCAAAUUGGGUGUUUGGGAAACUUCGGAGUUAAGGGGUUAUUCCACCCCUUAACCCCAAACCAAACAGGUGUUAAGGGACUAAUAUCAUUCUAAUCCUAUAAUUUCUCAUUCAAGGAUUAAAAAUUUAAUAGCAAAAAGGAGCUUUUGCUAUCAAUAGUAUUCCAGUCUAGCUCUAAUAAUAAUAUAUAUUUGUUAAUAUCUUAUUAUUAGAUAACGG